rnacentral:tRNA from 1 species
GAACCCUUGGCGCAGCGGUAGCGCGUGUGAUUCCAGUCUCAGGGGCCGAUAGGCCCCGCAGCGGUUCCACAAGGUCGUCCGUUCAAUCCGGGCAGGGUUCA